UUGGGAGAACAUCCAUCACACUGCUCAGAAUGGACCCAAUCUUCCAGUUUCAGAAGCUAAGCAGGGUUGGGCUGGGUUAGCCCUGGGAUGGGAGACCACAGGGAAUAUCAAGGGUCUCCAAAU
rnacentral:rRNA from 1 species